rnacentral:rRNA from 1 species
UAGUCCACGCCGUAAACGAUGAGUGUUAGGUGUUGGGGUCGUAAGACUUCGGUGCCGUAGCUAACGCGUUAAACACUCCGCCUGGGGAGUAAGGUCGCAAGAUUAAAACUCAAAGGAAUUGACGGGGACCUGCACAAGUGGUGGAACAUGCGGUUUAAUCCGAUGCUACGCGCAAAACCUUACCAACUCUUGACAUGGUGGUCGCGGAAUUCAGAAAUGAGUUCUUUCAGUUCGGCUGGACCACACACAGGUGUUGCAUGGCCGUCGUCAGCUCGUGUUGUGAGAUGUUAGGUUAAGUCCUGCAACGAGCGCAACCCUUAUUCUUAUUUGCCAGCGGGUUAUGCCGGGAACUAUAAGGAAACUGCCAGCGAUAAGCUGGAGGAAGGUGGGGAUGAAGUCAGGUCUGCAUGGCCCUUAUGGGUUGGGCUACACGCGUGUUACAAUGAUAGUUACAGAGGGUAACCAAAGAGCAAUCUGGAGUUAAUCUCAUAAAAGCUAUCUCAGUGCGGAUUGCA